GACAAGGAAAUAAUCGGAAGAAAACAUAAUUUAAGUUUUAUUAUGGGUCUAACUGUAAUUAGAUAAAAUAGUUGGGCCUCACUAUAAGCCCAAACAUUAAGAAAUUUCUCCCCAUUUUCCCCUUAAUUUUAUCUUUUCUUCGAUUCGACUUCGCCACUGAGUUCGAAGAGAAGAAUUCAGUCUCUGGACCGGAAGCCUAUACUUUAGCUAUCGGCGACUGCGAAGCAAGAAAAAGAUCUUUUUCUUGUCAGAGUUGCAUAGUAAAUUUAUCGGAUUAUAUGUUCUUUGGUUUUGGUGAGAUAUUCUACAUUGGUCGGAAGCCGCCUUUCGCAGUUCUGAGGUAAAGUUUUCCUUCAAUUUUCCUGCAAAAUUUUGUUUGAAUCACGCCUAGAGUCCUAUUCUUGAUGUUUCAGUGCGCGACAAACUUCCAUUUGUUAGGUUAGGUUUUGGUUGAAGUUAGAGUUUCGCUUAAAAUCUGGAUUAGUGUCUUGGGCUUGGAGCUUCAGUUUCGAAUCUGGACUUGCGAUUCUCUAACCCUAUAAUGGGCGUUUAGGAAAGGUGAGUUUUUUUAAGGAUUAUCCAUCUUCUGAUUGGUAACAGGAAAUUGGAUUUCACUGAAAAUGUCAUCACAAUGAGAUUACAAGAAAUUCUAGGGAUCUGGAGUUUUCUUUAUCAUUCUUCACCAAAUGGUGAAGGAUGUUGAUGCUGCAAGUGGGAGUUCCUGUUGUGAAGAAUAGCAUUUUCUCGCUUCUUGCGGCUUGAAUGAACCAGCCUUUACAAUGUGGAUUCAGUGAGUGUUACUACGUUUAUUGAGAGGUGGAAUCUGAUACCAUCGCCACAUUCAUUGAGGAACGGAGACGCCUUGCAUGAGCAAUUGGACCCAUAGAUCCAAGGUAUGGGCAUGAAUAUUCUAACCCAUAGAUCCAUAUUACAUGUGCAAACAUGAAGUUCCGUUAAGUUAUCCGGCGACAACUUAACUUCCACGUUUUCAAAGGCAUGUUCCAAUAAUGUUGUAAAAAGCAUUUGAUUGGUCUACUAAGAAAACACGUCUAUAUUAAAAACAUAUUUUCAAAUCUAUUAAACAAAUUCUAGAUUAUUAUUAUAACUACUUUCUACCCAUUUAUAUUAUAUAUGAUUAGAUUAACACUAAUUUUUACAUAAAUCUAUUUUGA